rnacentral:rRNA from 1 species
ACCUACGGGGGGCAGCAGUGGGGGAUAUUGCACAAUGGGGGGAACCCUGAUGCAGCGACGCCGCGUGGGUGAAGAAGCGUUUCGGCGCGUAAAGCCCUGUCAGCAGGGAAGAAGAUGACGGUACCUGACCAAGAAGCCCCGGCUAACUACGUGCCAGCAGCCGCGGUAAUACGUAGGGGGCAAGCGUUAUCCGGAUUUACUGGGUGUAAAGGGGGCGCAGACGGCGGUGCAAGCCAGGAGUGAAAGCCCGGGGCCCAACCCCGGGACUGCUCUUGGAACUGCGUGGCUGGAGGGCAGGAGGGGCG